rnacentral:rRNA from 1 species
GAUGAACGCUGGCGGCGUGCCUAAUACAUGCAAGUCGAGCGAACAGACGAGGAGCUUGCUCCUCUGACGUUAGCGGCGGACGGGUGAGUAACACGUGGAUAACCUACCUAUAAGACUGGGAUAACUUCGGGAAACCGGAGCUAAUACCGGAUAAUAUAUUGAACCGCAUGGUUCAAUAGUGAAAGACGGUUUUGCUGUCACUUAUAGAUGGAUCCGCGCCGCAUUAGCUAGUUGGUAAGGUAACGGCUUACCAAGGCAACGAUGCGUAGCCGACCUGAGAGGGUGAUCGGCCACACUGGAACUGAGACACGGUCCAGACUCCGACGGGAGGCAGCAGUAGGGAAUCUGCCGCAAUGGGCGAAAGCCUGACGGAGCAACGCCGCGUGAGUGAUGAAGGUCUGCGGAUCGUAAAACUCUGUUAUUAGGGAAGAACAAAUGUGUAAGUAACUAUGCACGUCUUGACGGUACCUAAUCAGAAAGCCACGGCUAACUACGG